rnacentral:rRNA from 1 species
ACAGCAGCAGCCACGGUAAUACGAGGGGCGCAAGCGUUAUUCGGAUUGAUUGGGUGUAAAGGGUGUGCAGACGGCUUAUUAAGUCACUUGUUAAAUUCUUCGGCCUAACUGAAGGUCUGCAAGUGAUACUGAUGAGCUAGAGGGUGGAAGAGAGAAGUGGAAUUCUCGGAGUAGCGGUAAAAUGCGUAGAUCUCGAGAGGAACACCAAUGGCGAAGGCAGCUUCUUGGUCCAUUCCUGACGUUCGUACACGAAAGCGUGGGGAGCAAACGGGAUUAGAUACCCCGGUAGUCCCUGUCUCUUAUAC